CAGCCCCAAGUUGCAAACAAGACCCUUAACCAGUCUACUUCAGUCGACAAAAGCGAUCAACUUGUAGAAGCUGGAUGCAGUACACGCGGGACCAUGACCGCAUAAAACAAUAGGAAAGUGAAGGUUGUGUUGACUUUUGUUGACUAUCCGAAAUGACUUUUUUGGAAAGCAUCAACAUCCAUUAUGAUCUGCAUGGCGAUUUUAGUGUUGUGUCGAGAUUCUAUCGUUUGGGUUAUUUCAAUUGCAGAUUGCCCCAUGAUAGUGUGAUUAGAUUAUUCGGUGUCAGUAUAGUUGAAAGCAUUUCUUUGUAAGGUAUUACGCGAUAACAAACAUCAGAAUCGAUGAAACAAUAAUUGUAUUUUUCAUGUUUGGCCUCCGGUUUGCUCAUUGCAGUAUGCUUAAAACAAUCGACAAGUACACUUAACAUUAA